rnacentral:lncRNA from 1 species
CUCUGCGGAGAAGCAUCUUCCGGCUGCUUGCACAGGGUUCAGUUGACGAAGCAGGAGCGGAAGGGAAGCCCGGCGGGGACCGGGCGAGCUCUCCUCUAGCCGGGGCUUCUUCCUGCUCGUGCGCCCCGCCAGGCAAGAGCAGGGUUAAGUGUGUGCGAGGGGGGGGGGGGGGCGGGGGGGGGCGGAGAGGGAAUCCCAGACCGCCGGAACUGGAGACUUCCCAGCCGAGGGCGAAGCGGCCGCGAGAGGCAGCGCCGGCCACCCCGUGGCUUCCGCUGGCACCUGGGCGCGCGGAGUCGGGAGGACACGUCGACAGCCGCCCGCAGGACACGCGGCAGACGCGCCACAGCCACCGCCAGGGCUGACAACAAGCUCUGAGCCGGGAACCUGGGACCUGUGCCGUGACAGGGUCGGCUGGCGGCCCAGAGAGAAGAGCCGUGUGGAGCCGGAGAGGCGGGUGGACCGCACAGCCCUCGAGCGGAGAUACCAGCCUGUGUCCAGGGAUCACAAGUACCCUUUUACUCUGAGAGGGACCCAAUUUGGACUGCACAUUCUCUGGUCUGCAUCGAGGCCAGGAGGGACUGCUCCCUGCCAUCCCCCGCUGAGGGACCCUGUUUCCAGAAACCUUUCCUCCUGGAGCCGACAAAGCAGACGGCAUCCACGUGCUGUCAGGUAGCCCAAGAUCCCUGGCAAUCCUGGGGUCCUUAGAAAACAGUUGGAAUUUUUCUGGCAGUUAUUGUUUUUUAGGAUAGCUGUUUUCACGUGUUUAUGUUGGACCUUUUUAAACGUCAACAAAGGUAGUGAUAAAGGCACCCUGAGCAGCCCAUUGGCCACUGCAGUGGUUACUGACACCUGGUUGCCUGCCCUCCGAGUUAUCCUUGUUGAGUUUCUGAAG